UUUAAAAGCUUUGGUAGUUGC
rnacentral:siRNA from 1 species